rnacentral:rRNA from 1 species
CCUACGGGUGGCAGCAGUGAGGAAUAUUUGGCACUGGAGGCAACUCUGACCCCGCCAUGCCGCGUGAGUGAAGAAGGUUUUCGGAUUGUAAAGCUCUUUCGGCUGUGACGAUGAUGACGGUAGCAUCUAACGAAGCCCCGGCUAACUUCGUGCCAGCAGCCGCGGUAAUACGAAGGGGGCAAGCGUUGUUCGGAAUUACUGGGCGAAAAGGGGGUGUAGGCGGUUGAGUAAGAUAGUGGUGAAAUCCCAGGGCUUAACUUUGGAAGUGCCAUUAUAACUAUUAGACUAGAAUUACAGAGAGGAGAGUGGAAUACCCAGUGUAGAGGUGAAAUUGGUAGAUAUUGGGUAGAACACCAGUGGCGAAGGCGACUAUCUGGCUGUACAGUGACGCUGAGGCUCGAAAGCAUGGGGAUCAAACAGGAUUAGAUACCCCAGUAGU